UCAAACUCGUUUCCAUUUCAUCAUUGCAUGAUUUAACACUUUGAUGGUUGCAUAUUUUAUAGAAUCUAUAACUGUUGCAGGUUUUAUCUUCAUUUUUAUACCAGAUACAGAGAAGAAUAUCGAUGGAUUUAUAUUUAAAAGCUGCAGUUGAAACUUUUCAAUGUGUAAUUAGUAUCUGAUAUAAUGAACAGCAUUGCAAAAUUAGCAACACUGUAUGCUUGUACCCCCUGUAAUUGAAGAGCAAUCAAUCUUCUAAUUGAGAGGAAAUCAGAGAACAAAAUUGUAGAAAUCUUUUUCAUGGUGAAGAGUAGUUACAGUCUUCUAAUUGAAAGAAAAUCAAAGAGAUCUUAUUUCCUCUAGUGGCAAUCAUUUAUGAAAAUGUUAUAUUCAAAGGGAUUCUUGAGAUUACAAAGGAGAGCAGCAAUGCGACGUAGCAUUUUGAGAAUGCAGUUUUCACGAGAACGUCGAACAUGUUUCGAUGGGAUACACUUUAAUGCAUCGUUUGCAUAAUCGCAACGGAUUCGCAAGACGGGAAGAGUGUUUCUUUUCACUACACCGUGGCUUUGUCGUUCGAAUCGACCCAUUCUCAUAUAAUGAAAAACUUCGUCGUGGGAAAUGAAAUUUGUGGCAUACUAAAUUGAUUAUUAUAAAAAUUGACUAUUAGUGGUUAGAAACUUUUAUUAAAA